UUAAGCGACUAAGCGUACACGGUGGAUGCCCUGGCAGUCAGAGGCGAUGAAGGACGUGCUAAUCUGCGAAAAGCGUCGGUAAGGUGAUAUGAACCGUUAUAACCGGCGAUGUCCGAAUGGGGAAACCCAGUGCAAUUCGUUGCACUAUCGUUAACUGAAUACAUAGGUUAACGAGGCGAACCGGGGGAACUGAAACAUCUAAGUACCCCGAGGAAAAGAAAUCAACCGAGAUUCCCCCAGUAGCGGCGAGCGAACGGGGAGCAGCCCAGAGUCUGAAUCAGCUUGUGUGUUAGUGGAACGGUCUGGAAAGUCCGACGGUACAGGGUGAUAGUCCCGUACACCAAAAUGCACAGGCUGUGAACUCGAAGAGUAGGGCGGGACACGUGGUAUCCUGUCUGAAUAUGGGGGGACCAUCCUCCAAGGCUAAAUACUCCUGACUGACCGAUAGUGAACCAGUACCGUGAGGGAAAGGCGAAAAGAACCCCGGCGAGGGGAGUGAAAAAGAACCUGAAACCGUGUACGUACAAGCAGUGGGAGCACCUUCGGGUGUGACUGCGUACCUUUUGUAUAAUGGGUCAGCGACUUAUAUUCUGUAGCAAGGUUAACCGUAUAGGGGAGCCGCAGGGAAACCGAGUCUUAACUGGGCGUUAAGUUGCAGGGUAUAGACCCGAAACCCGGUGAUCUAGCCAUGGGCAGGUUGAAGGUUGGGUAACACUAACUGGAGGACCGAACCGACUAAUGUUGAAAAAUUAGCGGAUGACUUGUGGCUGGGGGUGAAAGGCCAAUCAAACCGGGAGAUAGCUGGUUCUCCCCGAAAGCUAUUUAGGUAGCGCCUCGUGAACUCAUCUUCGGGGGUAGAGCACUGUUUCGGCUAGGGGGUCAUCCCGACUUACCAACCCGAUGCAAACUACGAAUACCGAAGAAUGUUAUCACGGGAGACACACGGCGGGUGCUAACGUCCGUCGUGAAGAGGGAAACAACCCAGACCGCCAGCUAAGGUCCCAAAGUCAUGGUUAAGUGGGAAACGAUGUGGGAAGGCACAGACAGCCAGGAUGUUGGCUUAGAAGCAGCCAUCAUUUAAAGAAAGCGUAAUAGCUCACUGGUCGAGUCGGCCUGCGCGGAAGAUGUAACGGGGCUAAACCAUGCACCGAAGCUGCGGCAGCGACACUAUGUGUUGUUGGGUAGGGGAGCGUUCUGUAAGCCUGCGAAGGUGACCUGUGAGGGUUGCUGGAGGUAUCAGAAGUGCGAAUGCUGACAUAAGUAACGAUAAAGCGGGUGAAAAGCCCGCUCGCCGGAAGACCAAGGGUUCCUGUCCAACGUUAAUCGGGGCAGGGUGAGUCGACCCCUAAGGCGAGGCCGAAAGGCGUAGUCGAUGGGAAACAGGUUAAUAUUCCUGUACUUGGUGUUACUGCGAAGGGGGGACGGAGAAGGCUAUGUUAGCCGGGCGACGGUUGUCCCGGUUUAAGCAUGUAGGCUGGUUAUCCAGGCAAAUCCGGAUAAUCAAGGCUGAGGUGUGAUGACGAGGCACUACGGUGCUGAAGUAACAAAUGCCCUGCUUCCAGGAAAAGCCUCUAAGCAUCAGGUAACAUUAAAUCGUACCCCAAACCGACACAGGUGGUCAGGUAGAGAAUACCAAGGCGCUUGAGAGAACUCGGGUGAAGGAACUAGGCAAAAUGGUGCCGUAACUUCGGGAGAAGGCACGCUGGUGUGUAGGUGAAGCCCCUGCGGGUGGAGCUGAGACCAGUCGAAGAUACCAGCUGGCUGCAACUGUUUAUUAAAAACACAGCACUGUGCAAACACGAAAGUGGACGUAUACGGUGUGACGCCUGCCCGGUGCCGGAAGGUUAAUUGAUGGGGUUAUCCGUAAGGAGAAGCUCUUGAUCGAAGCCCCGGUAAACGGCGGCCGUAACUAUAACGGUCCUAAGGUAGCGAAAUUCCUUGUCGGGUAAGUUCCGACCUGCACGAAUGGCGUAAUGAUGGCCAGGCUGUCUCCACCCGAGACUCAGUGAAAUUGAACUCGCUGUGAAGAUGCAGUGUACCCGCGGCAAGACGGAAAGACCCCGUGAACCUUUACUAUAGCUUGACACUGAACAUUGAGCCUUGAUGUGUAGGAUAGGUGGGAGGCUUUGAAGCGUGGACGCCAGUCUGCGUGGAGCCAACCUUGAAAUACCACCCUUUAAUGUUUGAUGUUCUAACGUUGGCCCCUGACCGGGGUUGCGGACAGUGUCUGGUGGGUAGUUUGACUGGGGCGGUCUCCUCCCAAAGCGUAACGGAGGAGCACGAAGGUUAGCUAAUCCUGGUCGGACAUCAGGAGGUUAGUGCAAUGGCAUAAGCUAGCUUGACUGCGAGCGUGACGGCGCGAGCAGGUGCGAAAGCAGGUCAUAGUGAUCCGGUGGUUCUGAAUGGAAGGGCCAUCGCUCAACGGAUAAAAGGUACUCCGGGGAUAACAGGCUGAUACCGCCCAAGAGUUCAUAUCGACGGCGGUGUUUGGCACCUCGAUGUCGGCUCAUCACAUCCUGGGGCUGAAGUAGGUCCCAAGGGUAUGGCUGUUCGCCAUUUAAAGUGGUACGCGAGCUGGGUUUAGAACGUCGUGAGACAGUUCGGUCCCUAUCUGCCGUGGGCGCUGGAGAAUUGAGGGGGGCUGCUCCUAGUACGAGAGGACCGGAGUGGACGCAUCACUGGUGUUCGGGUUGUCAUGCCAAUGGCACUGCCCGGUAGCUAAAUGCGGAAGAGAUAAGUGCUGAAAGCAUCUAAGCACGAAACUUGCCCCGAGAUGAGUUCUCCCUGAGACUUUAAGUCUCCUGAAGGAACGUUGAAGACGACGACGUUGAUAGGCCGGGUGUGUAAGCGCAGCGAUGCGUUGAGCUAACCGGUACUAAUGAACCGUGAGGCUUAACCU
rnacentral:rRNA from 1 species